rnacentral:rRNA from 1 species
AUUGAACGCUGGCGGCAUGCUUUACACAUGCAAGUCGGACGGCAGCACAGAGAUUCUUGCUUCUUGGGUGGCGAGUGGCGAACGGGUGAGUAACAUAUCGGAACGUACCGAGCAGUGGGGGAUAACUAAUCGAAAGUUUAGCUACUACCGCAUAUCUUCUGAGGAAGAAAGCAGGGGACCAUUUGGCCUUGCGCUGUUUGAGCGGCCGAUAUCUGAUUAGCUAGUUGGUGGGGUAAAGGCCUACCAAGGCGACGAUCAGUAGCGGGUCUGAGAGGAUGAUCCGCCACACUGGGACUGAGACACGGCCCAGACUCCUACGGGAGGCAGCAGUGGGGAAUUUUGGACAAUGGGCGAAAGCCUGAUCCAGCCAUGCCGCGUGUCUGAAGAAGGUCUUCGGGUUGUAAAGGACUUUUGGCAGGGAAGAAAAGGGCGGGGUUAAUACCCCUGUGUGAUGACGGUACCUGAAGAAUAAGCACCGGCUAACUACGUG